rnacentral:rRNA from 1 species
CCUACGGGAGGCAGCAGUGAGGAAUAUUGGUCAAUGGACGAGAGUCUGAACCAGCCAAGUAGCGUGAAGGAUGACUGCCCUAUGGGUUGUAAACUUCUUUUAUAUGGGAAUAAAAUGUUCCACGUGUGGGAUUUUGUAUGUACCAUAUGAAUAAGGAUCGGCUAACUCCGUGCCAGCAGCCGCGGUAAUACGGAGGAUCCGAGCGUUAUCCGGAUUUAUUGGGUUUAAAGGGAGCGUAGGUGGAUUGUUAAGUCAGUUGUGAAAGUUUGCGGCUCAACCGUAAAAUUGCAGUUGAAACUGGCAGUCUUGAGUACAGGAGAGGUGGGCGGAAUGCGUGGUGUAGCGGUGAAAUGCUUAGAUAUCGCGAAGAACUCCGAUUGCGAAGGCAGUUCACUGGACUGCAACUGACACUGAGGCUCGAAAGUGUGGGUAUCAAACAGGAUUAGAUACCCCAGUAGUC